GGAUUGUGGCUCAGUGGUAAAGCGCUCACCUAGCAUGUGCAAGGUGCUAGGUUCGAUCCUCAGCACCA
rnacentral:tRNA from 1 species